rnacentral:rRNA from 1 species
GGUUGCGGCCAUAUCUACCAGAAAGCACCGUUUCCCGUCCGAUCAACUGUAGUUAAGCUGGUAAGCGCCUGACCGAGUAGUGUAGUGGGUGACCAUACGCGAAACUCAGGUGCUGCAAUCU